UCUGGUGAUGAUAAUUGAUUUUAUUGUGUGUUUUGAUUUUUGUGGUAAAAUAUGAAAUUUGGUUUGAUAUUUUUAUUAUUAUUUUAAAGUAAGUAAGAUGAUUUGGAUUAGUACCCAAGUAAUUUUUGUUUAGUAGUGCAGGAGUAUAAUUGUAUUAAAACUGAAACUAUUUUUGGGAGAUUUAAAAUUUAUUUUUGGAGGUUGACGAGUAAGUGAGGACCCUCAUUGCUAACUAUUAUUUUUGUGGUAUGUAUGAUCGUUUAUUUUGAUAUGGAGUAUUGAAAAGUAAAGUUUUGUGUAUAAUGAUAGAUAGAUAUCUACUAUAUGCAAUAGAUUUUGUUGACCUACAUUAUUUUUUUUAUGUGGAUUUUUAUUGUUGGUGAUUAAAUGAAAAUGGAAAAGACAGUAAAUUAAUUUUAGUGUUUAAUUGAAGAUUUUUUUUUGGAUGGACA
rnacentral:rRNA from 1 species